AAAAAUAUUUUUUCUAAAAUCGCUUUCAACCAUUUUAAGAGCACAUCCAAACGAGUCUAUAUUUAGUGGGAAAAACUCCAAACCAAGGAGAAAGAGCACCAUACCUAUGUUACAUAUCAGCAAAGAUUACACCAGAACUAAAUCUUAGGGUGUAUCUUCAAACCAGUAGCACCCUAUGCCAAUAUGUAAUGAAACACGGGCCAAACGAUGAGCAAUAUUAUUUGCUUGACAACGAAUAACACAUCUAUAAUUUGUGACAUAUGAUACUUUUUUUACGAUAGUGCAUGAUGAGUGAAUUUAAAUCUAUAUCUUUGAUUCAUAAAACAUAACAGUAGCUUAGCGACUUUUAUAUCGUUUAUUAGGUCAAACCAUCGUUACAAGUAUUUUAAGAAUUUGUAAUCUCCUUGGUACUAUUCUAAUUAUGAAUCCUAACGCUGCUUGUGUUUGAGAUUUAGCAUCGAGAUCAAAGUUAGAGUAGCUUUCAAUUAGUAUAUUACUUUUUAGAAGUUUUUAAUAGUUUUAUUAUCACUUCAACUUAGUGAAUUUAGUACUAGUUUGGUACUGAAGUGCUGUUAUAAAAAAUGGGUAUAAAAAAAGUUGAGUUUACAAAUGUGUUUGGUAAACACUUCAAAAUAGCUUAUUUUCACAAUUUUGGGUGUAAAAAAGCUGAAAACGUAAAGCAACAAAAAUGAGUUUAUUCUCACAGCACUAACAGAAACAGUUUGUUUUCAAAGUACAGCAAUAUCAAACCAUCAGUUCCUUCUAUGAUUAGGAGAGAUUUUUUUGUGUGUCGGUAGCAUGGUCCGUAUAUUAAAUAUCAUAAUACAAAUGUUUAGAAUUGGAUACUCGAAAAAAUAUUUUUAAAUGUUUCUAUUAUCAUUUAAAUUUACUGAGUCAUAUUCUCGACACAUAUAAAAAGUUUCUUAAAGAUUUGAACCGUGUCGUCAAUGCAGCGUGUGAAUAAAGGUAUCUUGGGCAGCCUUUCUCUGACAUGAGCAGAUAUAAUAUGAUUUCUGCAAAGCAAUAUUCAAAAGUAAUCAAUACCUUCCUUUGACUCCAAUCUACUUCAAGUUUCAGUCGCGUGUAUAAAUAUAGGGUUUGCAAUACUCGAAUAAUAAGCAACCCCUCAUUCCACAGAAGGUUUUGAAGAAUGGAUGCAAGAGAAGACCAGGCCUUUCCACUGGGAAUUCUCCAGAGGCUCUUCAACUUCCUUAUGAAAAUCAUCGAAGCUCAGUCCCUCAAGACGGUGACUCUAGGCAAGCACCGUCCGAUUUGCAACGACUUAGUUAACACCGAGGUAUUCUCCUCGUGAGUAUAACACUCGUCGCAUGAAUAUGUGAUAACUCACGUGGAAAUAUUUCUGGCGACAUGCAAGAAUCUCCUCAUCCAAUCAGUCUCUGCUCAAGCCAAAGCAGUUUAAGGAUUCAUGGUGACAAGCCAGAAGAUUUCAUGGAUAGAUUAUUCCUGAGUAUAGCUAAGUAUAUUAUCCAUGUGAUUAUUGUCAAACAUUUUAUACAACUGAUUGAAUUAAAGUGUCCUC
rnacentral:lncRNA from 1 species